rnacentral:snRNA from 1 species
AGCUUUGCGCGGUGGCAGUAUCGUAGCCAAUGAGGUUUAUCCGAGGUGCGAUUAUUGCUAAUUGAAAACUUUUCCCAAUACCCCGCCAUGACGACUUGCAAUAUAGUCGGCAUUGGCAAUUUUUGAUGGUCACCACGGGGA